UAAAAGGUGGGAAGGAUUGGAGCCAGCACAGGCCCCUGUUCUCAAACCAGCCUGUCAGAGAUGCAGCACCAUGUUCUUACAUACGCACAGAAAUAAAAUGUCCCAGGUAAUAAGGAUUGCUUGUCCUCUCCGGUUUUGCAGUCUGACUGUGCUGUGGUGCAUCUUUUUGCAUUAUUUCUUGAACCAGAUCCCGUCUUUCCACAGGACAACUUUCUGUCUCUCCCUCAUUAUUCCAAAGCCCCAGUGCAAACUACACCCCCAGUGGGACCGAUGUUCAGAUUAUAAAGAACUAUUCUCCUGGGAUUGAGGCUA